rnacentral:rRNA from 1 species
CCUACGGGAGGCAGCAGUAAGGAAUAUUGGUCAAUGGACGCAAGUCUGAACCAGCCAUGCCGCGUGCAGGAUGACGGCCCUCUGGGUUGUAAACUGCUUUUAUAGGGGACGAAAAAAGGGCUUUCUAGCUCGUCUGACGGUACCCUAGGAAUAAGCACCGGCUAACUCCGUGCCAGCAGCCGCGGUAAUACGGAGGGUGCAAGCGUUAUCCGGAUUUACUGGGUUUAAAGGGUGCGUAGGUGGGUCGGUAAGUCAGCGGUGAAAUCUUCGAGCUUAACUCGGAAACUGCCAUUGAUACUAUCGAUCUUGAAUCAUCUGGAGGUAAGCGGAAUAUGUCAUGUAGCGGUGAAAUGCUUAGAUAUGACAUAGAACACCAAUUGCGAAGGCAGCUUACUACGGAUGCAUUGACACUGAGGCACGAAAGCGUGGGGAUCAAACAGGAUUAGAUACCCUGGCAGUCCACGCCCUAAACGAUGGAUACUCGACAUUUGAGAUAUACUUUAAGUGUCUGAGCGAAAGCAUUAAGUAUCCCACCUGGAAGUACGAUCGCAAGAUUGAAACUCAAAUGAGUAGAGAGNGAGAGNGCGAGGACGACACGAGGGAGGAG